GAUUAUGGCUCAGGAUGAACGCUGGCGGCGUGCUUCAUACAUGCAAGUCGAACGAGAAAUGGUAGCUUGCUACCAUGGAAAGUGGCGGACGGGUGAGUAAUACAUAGGGAAUCUGCCCUUAGCCGGGGGACAACAGUUGGAAACGACUGCUAAUACCGCAUAUGAGUAUGAUUGAGAUAUUAUACUUGAAAACUCCGGUGGCUAAGGAUGAGCCUGUGCCUGAUUAGUUAGUUGGCGGGGUAAAGGCCCACCAAGGCGACGAUCAGUAGCUGGUUUGAGAGGAUGAUCAGCCACAAUGGGACUGAGACACGGCCCAUACUCCUACGGGAGGCAGCAGUAGGGAAUUUUGCGCAAUGGGCGAAAGCCUGACGCAGCCAACGCCGCGUGUGUGAUGAAGCCCCUAGGGGUGUAAAGCACUGUCAGUGGGGACGAAAGAUGACGGUACCCACAGAGGAAGCACCGGCUAACUCCGUGCCAGCAGCAGC
rnacentral:rRNA from 1 species